rnacentral:misc_RNA from 1 species
GUAUUGAUUCGCGCGUGAUCGCGCAAAGAACAUUCUACACUAGGGUGUUUGAUGUUUAAAAACGUGAGCACCCCCCUCCGAGGAAGGGGGGACGCACGCGGUGAUGCACAAAGGGGUGAGAUGGAUUAUGUGUGAGAGCACCAAGGUGUGCACGACCUUUUCAAAAGUCAGCGACAACCCCAGCACCUCCAUUGUAUGAUAAUGAUCCUUCCGCAGGUUCACCUACGGAAA